UUGAACGCUGGCGGCAUGCCUUACACAUGCAAGUCGAACGGCAGCACGGGGGCGACCCUGGUGGCGAGUGGCGAACGGGUGAGUAACGCAUCGGAACGUACCCGGAAGUGGGGGAUAACGUAGCGAAAGUUACGCUAAUACCGCAUAUUCUGUGAGCAGGCAAGAGGGGGAUCGCAAGACCUCUCGCUUCCGGAGCGGCCGAUGUCGGAUUAGCUAGUUGGCGGGGUAAGGGCCCACCAAGGCGACGAUCCGUAGCGGGUCUGAGAGGAUGAUCCGCCACACUGGGACUGAGACACGGCCCAGACUCCUACGGGAGGCAGCAGUGGGGAAUGUUGGACAAUGGGCGCAAGCCUGAUCCAGCCAUGCCGCGUGAGUGAAGAAGGCCUUCGGGUUGUAAAGCU
rnacentral:rRNA from 1 species